GACUGCUAGAGAAGCUAUCUGUACAAGUGCAUCAGGUCGUGACUCAAAAAUAAUCAAUACAACGCCUAAUGGAGAUGAUGAUUUCUCCAAGAUGAAUCCAUCAGCAAUCUCCGUUCUUUUUAAAGUGUGACCAAGGGGCUCAUCCAUGUUAGACAGCACACGAACUGAGUUUGCAAGACUAGAAAUUUUUCCUGGAUUUAAAGCCAGACGAGAUAUCAAAGACUUCUCAUAUCCGGCCUGUUGAGCAGCAACCACAUCAGCUUCAUUCUCAGCGAGGAUUGCCUUUUCAUUUGCUUCCAGUGCAUCAGCUAUA
rnacentral:misc_RNA from 1 species